AUGGCCUUAAAUAUUUGUGCCUCACUCUGCGUCGCCGUUUGGGCACAAAUCAAGCUGUACACCGUGUCCUGUGCUGGGGGCAGAGCGGAGCAGCUCGGCUAUUCUGACAGACACCACAACGAUGACCUCAGCCGCCUCCCAGCAGCCCCCGCAGCCCCGCACCACCAACCUCUCCCUCCCCCCAGAAUCCCCUGCGCUGAUGUGGCGCGGGGUUCUCUGGGUAACGCGGCCUCGGCGCUGCCGGAAUCCUCAGGAGGGGCCGCGCUCCGUCCGCAGCUGGAAUCAUUUCACACAGCGCCCGCACGGAGUCUCGGCGCAGGCGGUGGCGGCUCCGUUCCCCCUGGACGCCGGGAAACAGAGUCCCUACGGAGCAGCUCUUGCGUUGCCGGCCGGGCGCGGGACUACGUUUCCCAUCAGCCCUCUCCAGCCCCGUCCCCGGAGCCGUUCGGCCGCCAUUUUGUUUCGCGUUCCAACCUAAGAUGGCAACUGUGCGAAGAGAGUGAAGGUUGCCGCCGCCGGAGCCAGGCCCUAUCUAUGCUGCAAGACUACUUCAAUCCAGUAAGAUAUAGUAAGUCUUGGGGUAUGUGUUUGCCUCCAUUCGCAGAACCUUUCUUGGUAAACAUGAUGCUGUUCCAGCAGAUGAUCUUCUUGCAGGAGCAGGGCCUGGGCUUUGGCACCCUCUGGCUCUUUUUUCGGCCUGGGCAGAAUGGAAAGCACAGUUGAGGGUGAAGCGGCUGCCUCAGCUUUGAGAAAUGUCAAGACUGGGAGUACAGAACCCUGGUAGACAGUCAUGCACUAUAUGCUUCUGAAGCUUCUCUAUGUGUAUUUAUUAGCCAGCAUAUCCAUAAACCUCAAUAAUCCAAUGCUCUCUGCCCCUUAAAGAUACUAGAGAUCUGCCGUUACAUUGUUGCAGUGUUAACUAUAACUUCUAUUUAUAGAGAAAGGAGUUCUAACUUUUACUGAGAUGUAAAGUUCAGAUGUAGUUUUGCUGCAUUUUUUUUCCCUCAUUUUGGCUGAAAAUUGAUCUAGACUGCAGGAAUGGAAUUUGUUAAUUUGUGAGCUGAUGAGUGCUCUUAACUUUAAAUAAUAAAACAAAAAAAUGGCUGCUAGAAUGUAAGUGC
rnacentral:lncRNA from 1 species